rnacentral:rRNA from 1 species
UUGACGGUCCCGCACAAGCAGCGGAGCGUGUGGUUUAAUUCGUUGCUACACGAAGAACCUUACCUGGGUUUGACAUAGCAGUGGUAGGGAAGCGAAAGUGGACCGACCCUUCGGGGAGCUGUUACAGGUGUUGCAUGGCUGUCGUCAGCUCGUGUCGUGAGAUGUUCGGUUAAGUCCGCUAACGAGCGCAACCCGCGUGGUGUGUUACAAGUGUCACACCAUACUGCCGAUAUUAAGUCGGAGGAAGGUGCGGAUGACGUCAAGUCAGCAUGACCUUUAUAUCCAGGGCUACACACACGCUACAAUGGUCGGUACAACAGGUUGCCAAGCCGCGAGGCGGAGCCAAUCCUCUAAAGCCGACCUCAGUUCAGAUUGCAGGCUGCAACUCGCCUGCAUGAAGUUGGAGUUGCUAGUAACCGUAGGUCAGCUAUACUGCGGUGAAUACGUUCCCGGGGAUU